rnacentral:rRNA from 1 species
UACGUAGGGUCCGAGCGUUGUCCGGAAUUAUUGGGCGUAAAGGGCUCGUAGGCGGUUUGUCACGUCGGGCGUGAAAACUCAGGGCUCAACCCUGAGCGUGCGUUCGAUACGGGCAGACUAGAGGUAUGCAGGGGGAGAACGGAAUUCCUGGUGUAGCGGUGGAAUGCGCAGAUAUCAGGAGGAACACCGGUGGCGAAGGCGGUUCUCUGGGCAUUACCUGACGCUGAGGAGCGAAAGCAUGGGGGAGCGAACAGG